CCUACGGGCGGCAGCAGUGAGGAAUAUUGGUCAAUGGACGCGAGUCUGAACCAGCCAAGUCGCGUGCAGGAAGACUGCUCUAUGAGUUGUAAACUUCUUUUAUACGGGAGUAAAGUGAGGCACGCGUGCCUUUUUGUAAGUACCUUAUGAAUAAGGAUCGGCUAACUCCGUGCCAGCAGCCGCGGUAAUACGGAGGAUUCGAGCGUUAUCCGGAUUUAUUGGGUUUAAAGGGAGUGUAGAUGGGCUGAUAAGUUAGUUGUGAAAGGUUGCGGCUCAACUUCGGAAUUGCAAUUGAUACUGGCAGCCUAGAGAAUAGUUGAGGUAGGCGGAAUGCGUGGUGUAGCGGUGAAAUGCUUAGAGAUCACGAAGAACACCGAUUGCGAAGGCAGCCUACUAAGCUGCCUCUGACAUUGAUGCACGAAAGUGUGGGGAGCAAACAGGAUUAGAUACCCGAGUAGUC
rnacentral:rRNA from 1 species